rnacentral:rRNA from 1 species
CUGGGAUUAGAUACCCCACUAUGCUUAGUCAUAAACUUUGGUAAUAAAUUACAUAUAUCACCCGCCAGGGUACUACGAGCGCUAGCUUAAAACCCAAAGGACUUGGCGGUGCCCCAGACCCACCUAGAGGAGCCUGUUCUAGAACCGAUAAUCCCCGUUAAACCUCACCACUUCUUGUCAUUACCGCCUAUAUACCGCCGUCGUCAGCUUACCCUGUGAAAGACUAAUAGUAAGCAAAAAUGGCACACCCAAAAACGUCAGGUCGAGGUGUAGCGAAUGAAGUGGAAAGAAAUGGGCUACAUUUUCUGACACAGAAAAUACACGAAUAACACUGUGAAACCAGUGAUUGAAGGUGGAUUUAGCAGUAAAAAGAAAAUAGAAAAUUCUUUUGAAGCCGGCUAUGGGGCGCGCACACACCGCCCGUCACCCUCCUCAA